GACGAACGCUGGCGGCGUGCUUAACACAUGCAAGUCGAACGGAAAGGCCCUGCUUUUGUGGGGUGCUCGAGUGGCGAACGGGUGAGUAACACGUGAGUAACCUGCCCUUGACUUUGGGAUAACUUCAGGAAACUGGGGCUAAUACCGGAUAGGAGCUCCUGCUGCGUGGUGGGGGUUGGAAAGUUUCGGCGGUUGGGGAUGGACUCGCGGCUUAUCAGCUUGUUGGUGGGGUAGUGGCUUACCAAGGCUUUGACGGGUAGCCGGCCUGAGAGGGUGACCGGCCACAUUGGGACUGAGAUACGGCCCAGACUCCUACGGGAGGCAGCAGUGGGGAAUAUUACACAAUGGGCGGAAGCCUGAUGCAGCAACGCCGCGUGCGGGAUGACGGCCUUCGGGUUGUAAACCGCUUUCGCCUGUGACGAAGCGUGAGUGACGGUAAUGGGUAAAGAAGCACCGGCUAACUACGUG
rnacentral:rRNA from 1 species